UAUUGUUGCCAUUUUUUGUUUCAUGCUUUUAAAACAAAUAUUUUGUUCUGUUUGUAGUUUCCUUUCUUCGACAAAGACAGGGAGUUCCUGAAGGCCAAAAUCAUAUAUACAGAGCCGAAAAUUCCUCCGGAUCUGCUUUUAAGGGUCAGGUUCACAUUACAAGGGCUGCUGAAAAAAGAUGCCAGACUUCGCCUCGGGUCACAUGAAACAGACGCUAAAGAAGUCAUGGAAAGCUCUUUAUUCAGGGGAUUUAACUGGGACACCCUUCUGAGCCAAGAAAUGCAGGCGCCAUUUACUCCUCAAAUAAGUGUUCCAGAGCCAGUGGAGUUAGUAAGCCUUCGCUUACCGGGCGCUGGUGUCCCAGCAGAACGACCCGACAGGACCCCGUUGGAAGAGGCAUUAGAAGAGUUGAAUUGUCCUGCUCUUCUGCCUUGAAAACGGGGUUCCUGUGAAUUAUUCAGUCCAGAGAUCCCGAGCUGACUAAUAAUGACCCGAUCUUCUCGGAGGAAGAAGACGUUCAAAGCCAAAUUCCUUCAUUUCUAUGAAGAUGAAUUAUUAUUAUUAUA